rnacentral:rRNA from 1 species
GACGAACGCUGGCGGCGUGCUUAACACAUGCAAGUCGAGCGAGGCCCCUCCUUCGGGAGGGUGUCCUAGCGGCGAACGGGUGAGUAACACGUGGGCAACCUGCCCUCAGCUCUGGGAUAACUCCGGGAAACCGGGGCUAAUACCGGAUACGACCUCCACGGGCAUCUGCGGAGGUGGAAAGUUUUUCGGCUGAGGAUGGGCCCGCGGCCUAUCAGCUAGUUGGUGGGGUAGUGGCCCACCAAGGCGACGACGGGUAGCCGGCCUGAGAGGGCGACCGGCCACACUGGGACUGAGACACGGCCCAGACUCCUACGGGAGGCAGCAGUGGGGAAUAUUGCGCAAUGGGCGAAAGCCUGACGCAGCGACGCCGCGUGAGGGACGAAGGCCUCCGGGUUGUAAACCUCUUUCAGCAGGGACGAAGCGAAAGUGACGGUACCUGCAGAAGAAGCACCGGCCAACUACGUG